AUGUGGAUCUUGGGGGAUGGCAACUCUUACCUCUUCUGGACGGAUAGGUGGAUCAGUGGGCAGUCCGUCGCCGACCUUGCUCCGGCCGUGCUGGCCUUGGUCCCCAAGAGUCGCAAGCGGACGGGUUCCGUCGCGCUGGGCCUGUUGGGCAGGGCCUGGAUCUCUGACAUCCGUGGUGCUUUGGGGUCCGAGACCAUGGUGCAGUACGUGGAACUUUGGUGGCUCCUUCAACAUAUCACCCUUUCUGUCGACCCCGAUGAGCUACAUUGGCGUUGGACGAGCAGCAGCUCCUACUCCGCUAAGUCCUGCUAUCAGGCUAUGUUCUCUGGUUCCACUAUCGCCCCGCACUGGAAGCUUACAUGGCGUACUUGGGCCCCUCUCUGUAUCCGGUUCUUCGCCUGGUUGGCUGGCAUGGAUCGCUGCUAG
rnacentral:rRNA from 1 species